rnacentral:rRNA from 2 species
UUAAGUGGAAAAGGAUGUGGCGUUGCCCAGACAACUAGGAUGUUGGCUUAGAAGCAGCCAUCAUUUAAAGAGUGCGUAAUAGCUCACUAGUCGAGUGACACUGCGCCGAAAAUGUACCGGGGCUAAACAUAUUACCGAAGCUGUGGAUUGUCCUUUGGACAAUGGUAGGAGAGCGUUCUAAGGGCGUCGAAGCAUGAUCGCAAGGACAUGUGGAGCGCUUAGAAGUGAGAAUGCCGGUGUGAGUAGCGAAAGACGGGUGAGAAUCCCGUCCACCGAUUGACUAAGGUUUCCAGAGGAAGGCUCGUCCGCUCUGGGUUAGUCGGGUCCUAAGCUGAGGCCGACAGGCGUAGGCGAUGGAUAACAGGUUGAUAUUCCUGUACCACCUAGUAUCGUUUUAAUCGAUGGGGGGACGCAGUAGGAUAGGCGAAGCGUGCUGUUGGAGUGCACGUCCAAGCAGUAAGGCUGAGUGUUAGGCAAAUCCGGCACUCAUAAGGCUGAGCUGUGAUGGGGAGAGGAAAUUGUUUCCUCGAGUCGUUGAUUUCACACUGCCGAGAAAAGCCUCUAGAUAGAUAACAGGUGCCCGUACCGCAAACCGACACAGGUAGUCAAGAUGAGAAUUCUAAGGUGAGCGAGCGAACUCUCGUUAAGGAACUCGGCAAAAUGACCCCGUAACUUCGGGAGAAGGGGUGCUCUUUAGGGUUCACGCCCAGAAGAGCCGCAGUGAAUAGGCCCAAGCGACUGUUUAUCAAAAACACAGGUCUCUGCUAAACCGUAAGGUGAUGUAUAGGGGCUGACGCCUGCCCGGUGCUGGAAGGUUAAGAGGAGUGGUUAGCUUCUGCGAAGCUACGAAUCGAAGCCCCAGUAAACGGCGGCCGUAACUAUAACGGUCCUAAGGUAGCGAAAUUCCUUGUCGGGUAAGUUCCGACCCGCACGAAAGGCGUAACGAUUUGGGCACUGUCUCAACGAGAGACUCGGUGAAAUCAUAGUACCUGUGAAGAUGCAGGUUACCCGCGACAGGACGGAAAGACCCCGUGGAGCUUUACUGUAGCCUGAUAUUGAAAUUCGGCACAGCUUGUACAGGAUAGGUAGGAGCCUUUGAAACGUGAGCGCUAGCUUACGUGGAGGCGUUGGUGGGAUACUACCCUAGCUGUGUUGGCUUUCUAACCCGCACCACUUAUCGUGGUGGGAGACAGUGUCAGGCGGGCAGUUUGACUGGGGCGGUCGCCUCCUAAAAGGUAACGGAGGCGCUCAAAGGUUCCCUCAGAAUGGUUGGAAAUCAUUCAUAGAGUGUAAAGGCAUAAGGGAGCUUGACUGCGAGACCUACAAGUCGAGCAGGGUCGAAAGACGGACUUAGUGAUCCGGUGGUUCCGCAUGGAAGGGCCAUCGCUCAACGGAUAAAAGCUACCCCGGGGAUAACAGGCUUAUCUCCCCCAAGAGUUCACAUCGACGGGGAGGUUUGGCACCUCGAUGUCGGCUCAUCGCAUCCUGGGGCUGUAGUCGGUCCCAAGGGUUGGGCUGUUCGCCCAUUAAAGCGGUACGCGAGCUGGGUUCAGAACGUCGUGAGACAGUUCGGUCCCUAUCCGUCGUGGGCGUAGGAAAUUUGAGAGGAGCUGUCCUUAGUACGAGAGGACCGGGAUGGACAUACCUCUGGUGUACCAGUUGUCGUGCCAACGGCAUAGCUGGGUAGCUAUGUAUGGACGGGAUAAGUGCUGAAAGCAUCUAAGCAUGAAGCCCCCCUCAAGAUGAGAUUUCCCAACUUCGGUUAUAAGAUCCCUCGAAGAUGACGAGGUUAAUAGGUUCGAGGUGGAAGCGUGGUGACACGUGGAGCUGACGAAUACUAAUCGAUCGAAGACUUAAUC